rnacentral:lncRNA from 1 species
CCUUGGGCUGUUUCUCUUGGAGGUGACUUUCUGCAAGGCUCUCCUCCCUGACAGGGAGCAGGAUCGGGGACAGUGUGUAGGAGCCUGCAGUCUCCAGCUGCUCUAAGUGAGCUUAGGUGGGAAAAAUCAAUUCAGUGGAAAGUCAUGGGACAGACACUUUGGCUUCAGAUCCAGGAAUAAGAAACCUGCAUUGGCUGUGCUUCGUCACUGAUUCAGGAGCAGCCUGUGGAAAGCGUGGCCUCAGCAUCAAUGUGGUGGUGAACCCAGAGGAGUGGAAACAAGGCCAACUAUUAUGCUCCCUGCAGCAGGAGACCUGAGUGGUGCAUUGUCCUGGCCAUCACAAUGGCUUGAUCAGGCCUGGAAACCAGAGAAGAUGACCAAUUUCAAAACCAGAGAAGCAACCCUAAUAUGAAGUUCCAAAUGGUGUGGCAGGAAGGUAGCAAGACACCUGGGGCAGAUAACAACGGUUUGAGCACCUGCUCUGUGGCAAGCUGCCUGAAGGGACUUGACACACACUUGCAGACAGUUCUCAGAAAAGUUCAAUAAAUUGCCCAAGGCCAAAGAGCUAGUAAGUUGUGAGCUUGGAUUUGAAGCUGAUUUUUCUCUUCAUUGCAAAGCCCUGGGCAACAGUCUUUUUGCCAUGAAUCGGGAAUAAACAGGAGAGAGCAUGGAGAUGGCAACAGACUCAAUUUAUGAAUGAAAUUCUAUUUUAUUACUUUUAAAUACAGAUAAGGCCAGGCAUGAUGGCUUACACUUGUAAUCCUAGAACUUUGGGAGGCUGAGGCAAGAGAAUUGCUUGAGGUUAGGAGUUCAAGAUCACCUUGGACAACACGGGGGGUUGGUUGGGGAGGGGGAAGAAAGAAAGUGAAAGAAAAAUAAAUACAAAUAAAUACCAAAAGAGACCAGUACACUCUCCAGGGGCAAAUAAUGAAUAAUAUUUCAAAUCACUAUCUUAUUUUUUUCAACUUUAUUGAGCUAUUAUUGAAGUAGAUAAGCUGCACAUAUUUCCAUGUAAAAGUUGGUCAGUUUCGG